rnacentral:rRNA from 1 species
UACAGAGGGUGCAAGCGUUGUUCGGAAUUACUGGGCGUAAAGCGCGUGUAGGUGGCAAUGUAAGUCGGGUGUGAAAUCCCUCAGCUUAACUGGGGAACUGCGUCUGAUACUGAGUGGCUUGAGUGCAGGAGAGGAAUGCGGAAUUCCAGGUGUAGCGGUGAAAUGCGUAGAUAUCGUAAGGAAGACCAGUGGCGAAGGCGAAUCUCUGGACAGUUACUGACACUGAGGCACGAAGGCCAGGGGAGCAAACGGG